rnacentral:rRNA from 1 species
CAAGGGAGCUGCAACACGGGUGCUGCAUGGCUGUCGUCAGCUCGUGUCGUGAGAUGUUGGGUUAAGUCCCGCAACGAGCGCAACCCUUGCCUUUAGUUGCCAGCGGGUUAUGCCGGGCACUCUAGAGGGACUGCCGGUGACAAACCGGAGGAAGGCGGGGAUGACGUCAAGUCCUCAUGGCCCUUAUGCGUCGGGCUACACACAUGCUACAAUGGCCGGUACAAAGGGAAGCCAAGGAGCGAUCUGGAGCCAAUCCCAGAAAGCCGGUCGUAGUCCGGAUUGUUCUCUGCAACUCGAGAGCAUGAAGUCGGAAUCGCUAGUAAUCGCGGAUCAGCCACGCCGCGGUGAAUACGUUCCCGGGCCUU